UACGUUUUCACCUCGGGUGACAGGGAGACAGGUGGUGCAUGGUUGUCGUCAGCUCGUGUCGUGAGAUGUUGGGUUAAGUCCCGCAACGAGCGCAACCCCUACGUUUAGUUGCUAACGCGUGAAGGCGAGCACUCUAGACGAACUGCCGUUGACAAAACGGAGGAAGGUGGGAUGACGUCAAAUCAUCAUGCCCCUUAUGUUCUGGGCUACACACGUGCUACAAUGGCCGGUACAGACGGACGCAAAGCCGCGAGGUGGAGCAAAUCCUAAAAAGCCGGUCUCAGUUCGGAUUGCAGGCUGCAAUUCGCCUGCAUGAAGUCGGAAUCGCUAGUAAUCGCAGGUCAGCAUACUGCGGUGAAUACGUUCCCGGGCCUU
rnacentral:rRNA from 1 species